rnacentral:lncRNA from 1 species
UAACAACAAGAUUUAAAAAAAACAGUAGAAUACUAUUUUAAGUUUUAACAAAAAAAAAAAAAUAGAAGAGUCUAUUUAAUAAAAAAAAAAGAAAAAAAAAGAACAAUUUUAAAAUUAAAAAUAAAAAUAAUUAAAAAAAAAGGAGUUUAAUGAAGAGACUAGAGAGAUGCCAAUAGUCGACUCCGUAAAAAGACUCGUAAACGGGUAACUUCCACAGCAGUUGAUUGGUCCCAGGCCGCGCCUGGACCAGCAGCAUAUCCGGCCGGCGAGAUUUUGGAUCCCAUUAAAUUGGUAAUUUAAGCGGAAAGAAAAGGGUAUUUUUGUCAUUCUAUUUUCCCCGAAUUUUAUUCCACUAAAAAUGUUAGGGCCCAUUUUAUUCGGUCCGUGCAGAGUACGUCCUCCGAGGAGGUCGGACCCAUUAUCUUCUAACCAUUCAUCG